UACGUAGGUGGCAAGCGUUGUCCGGAUUUAUUGGGUUUAAAGGGUGCGUAGGCGGUCUUAUAAGUCAGUGGUGAAAUACGGCAGCUCAACUGUCGAGGUGCCAUUGAUACUGUAGGACUUGAGUACAGACGAGGUAGGCGGAAUUGACGGUGUAGCGGUGAAAUUCGUAGAUAUUGGGAAGAACACCGGUGGCGAAGGCGGCUCACUGGCUCGUAACUGACGCUCAUGCACGACAGCGUGGGGAUCAAACAGG
rnacentral:rRNA from 1 species